rnacentral:miRNA from 1 species
UACAUUUGUGUGUGUAAGUGUAUGUGCAGGCCACAGCACGUGUG